rnacentral:rRNA from 1 species
UAGGGAAUCUUCCGCAAUGGGCGAAAGCCUGACGGAGCAACGCCGCGUGAGUGAUGAAGGUUUUCGGAUCGUAAAGCUCUGUUGCCAGGGAAGAACGUCCGAUAGAGUAACUGCUAUCGGAGUGACGGUACCUGAGAAGAAAGCCCCGGCUAACUACGUGCCAGCAGCCGCGGUAAUACGUAGGGGGCAAGCGUUGUCCGGAAUUAUUGGGCGUAAAGCGCGCGCAGGCGGUCAUUUAAGUCUGGUGUUUAAGGCCAAGGCUCAACCUUGGUUCGCACUGGAAACUGGGUGACUUGAGUGCAGAAGAGGAGAGUGGAAUUCCACGUGUAGCGGUGAAAUGCGUAGAUAUGUGGAGGAACACCAGUGGCGAAGGCGACUCUCUGGGCUGUAACUGACGCUGAGGCGCGAAAGCGUGGGGAGCAAACAGG